UACGUAGGGGGCAAGCGUUGUCCGGAAUCAUUGGGCGUAAAGAGCGUGUAGGCGGUCCGUUAAGUCGGCUGUGAAAGUCCAAGGCUCAACCUUGGGAUGCCGGUCGAUACUGCCGGACUAGAGUUCGGAAGAGGCGAGUGGAAUUCCCGGUGUAGCGGUGAAAUGCGCAGAUAUCGGGAGGAACACCUAUGGCGAAGGCAGCUCGCUGGGACGUUACUGACGCUGAGACGCGAAAGCGUGGGGAGCAAACAGG
rnacentral:rRNA from 1 species